GAUACAGAAAAUGGAGUUUGAUGACAGAUCCGGGCUCCGGCUACACAAUCCGGUGCAAAUCAUCGGCAGGUUGAUCGUCGUCGAUUUCAUCUUCCAUAAACAAACCCCUUUGGGUCCUGUCUCUACCCAGGGCGUACUCUUCAUUCCAAGCUUCGAAUCAGCAUAUUAUGGGCCUGAAAUGGAGACCAGUAGUGAAAGUUAUGCGCGUUUAAGCUCGACAACCCUGUUAUCCCGGCCAUGGGUCUCCAUGAACAAUAAGACCUAAUCCUCCAUGCGGACCACGCCAAGGCCCGCAUCAGAUUUGGUAGGCAUGAUUCUUAAUUUGUGUUUCAAACAUAAUUGAUUGUGUUUUCUUUUUCAUAAUUGAAUUGCUGAAAGAAUUACUAAAAAUUGUAGAAUUGUGGUGUUUGAUGAAUAUGCUUGUUUCUGCUAAACUUGAAAUGUUUUCUCAUUGAUCUAUAAUCAAUAAAAGCAUGUUCAUUUUUGCUUUCA